CAUGUAGGCGGCUAGGUUAGUCGGAUGUGAAAGCCCUGGGCUUAACCUGGGAACUGCAUUCGAAACUGCCUGGCUAGAGUAUGGGAGAGGGAAGUGGAAUUCCGGGUGUAGCGGUGAAAUGCGUAGAUAUCCGGAGGAACACCAGUGGCGAAGGCGACUUCCUGGCCCAAUACUGACGCUGAGGUGCGAAAGCGUGGGGAGCAAACA
rnacentral:rRNA from 1 species